AACCGGAAUACCUUCUCUCCUAUCCACGACUAGGUUCUCUGCUCGGGCCGCUUCGGACCCUGCCAAGGAUGGGUGGAGCCGCGGAGGGCCAGACGGGGCGAGCGCCGCACCUGGGUUGAGGAGGGGCAAAGUGGGCAGGCGUCGCGCAUGGGAAGGCUGGGGAUAAGAAGCAACUCGCGAUUAUUACAGCUCGAACUCGUGGCUGAGGAUCGUCUGCCGAUUUUGAGCUCCUGCAGCUCGUGGAUGGGGUGUUCGAGCAAUUUCGGCCAGACGGCCACCUCCAGAUGCCGCCCCUGCCCUCCCAUCCCAACGGAAAUCACAGAAGAAAACAAUAGCGUAAACUGAAACUUAGAGUAGCAGCGUUCAUACUACCGAAGAAUGAAUUAUAACACUGUCGAUAGCUGAUGAAGAUGCUGCUUGAAAGAAAGAUGAGAGCGACAUCUGCAUCGAAGAGAACGGAGUUCGAUCUCGUGCGCUGCUUCAGCAGCCUGCUCCGCCGCUUAUGUGCUGCAUGGAGCUCCUGCAAUCCAAGCCACACUAUACGUUCCAUGAAGUUGUGGAGGACUCAUAGAUUGGCGUUUGCCUUACUAUUGAUGCAGAUGUAGAUGCUUUUUCCACGACAGUGUGAAUCUCUUCAUUACUUGCCCAAAGAUCUGGUGGAGGUACUCCAAAACUUCGAGAUGAAAGAAGACAGUGGCAAGCACAUGCAUCUAGCUGCAUCCUGCGGGACAUAAGUACUAAUUCGUCUGCAUUCUACAUCAGUGUUCUGCAAAAUUAAGUUACAAUCAUCAUAGUAGCUUGCUAUUUACAUAUGCUGUUUGCUUAGCAAUGCAUGAAUUUUCCCUUGAAUACGUUUAUCUUGUGAGUUCGUUUGUGGCUGAGUUUGCACCAUGAUGGUAUGUGAUUGUAGUUGUAGCGCGUUUCUUGCAACUCUUUUCGGAUGGUGUCUAACAUAGUAACAUGCACAUCUCUAAAUUAUCUUGCAGAAAGUGCAGCCGAGGAGCAUAGUUUAAAGAUGAUGUGAGGUGUCUAUGUUUCAGCUGCAUAAUUGGCAGAUUUAAGAAACCAGUUUACUAUCCGUGUAGCUACGUUGAAAUUUGUUCGGCCGUAGCAACGCACGGGUUUUGUGCUAGUCAA